CUCAGGGCUUUCAGAUCUCGGCUGGGUUAUCACCCGCCUCGCUGGAGCUGGGAACCUAGCCCCAAGCCCUAACAAACCCGGCGAACCGUUUUAUCACUCCAAGGGUCUGUUGUUUUGCUUUUGCUGUUUCAUCACAGGUCACUCUAAGCAGGGACCCCCAAUACACCCAUUGCCCCUGAGGGCACCAUCCGAAGGCUCAUUAUUUUUACGUAGAAAUGUCCUUGAUAGUUUGGACCCGAGGAGAAUUACUCAAACGUUAAUUAGAAGAUUGAGAUUCAUCAGUUAACAUUCAGGGAGUUCACACAUUGGACAAUGGGACAAUUAAACUUGCUAGCAGUAACCCAGAAUCUGCUGUGGAUAAACUAGCUAGAAAGCUCACCCAGGCCACCACCUGAAAAACCACACCCUGGGAAGUCCAGAAAAGAGUCGGCGCAUAAUGGACACACAAUGCACACAUAAGCUAUGUCAAGCCUUCCCGCCAAUCAGUCCUGGGUGCCUUCUCAGAAGCCAGCAGCCUCCCUAACACGUCCUUUCCCGUGGGCUCAGAGCAGUGGAUUUCAAAGAAAGUCACCCUGAAACAUGCUUUUACCUUCACAAGCUCGGACAAAUGGAUCCCCAUCCCGCUCUUUCUCCUGGCUGCAGAAUGGUGGUCAGAGGCAGGCUGCUUCAUGCAUGUGCGUUCACAGUGUGACAUGUGAAUUUAUAAAAUUCCCAAAGGUGCAAUGUUAGGCACUGAGACAUUAACAUAUGAAACUCCACAU